UUUCAGCGCUCCCUUUUUCUUAAAAAACUUGAAAUUCUCUCAACCCCUCUCCAUGCUCUCCUUAUCCGGCCACGGGGCCACAGUCCGUUCGUCGUGGCCGUCGGCUGGCUACAGUAGCAACCAUCGUGUACGGUGGUUGGAGUUUUUUUAAAAAAUGGACUUGUCAUAUUUUUGACUCCCCAAACUUUGAUUUGGGGUCAAUUUUUUAAGGAAAUGACUAAACUCGCCAAAAGAAGAAAAAAGAAAACCCUUUGAUUCUAGGGUUUCAAGCACUUCUCGACAUAAAAAAGAGGUCAUCGUUCAUCGGCGGUGACGGCCUCGGUCACUAGCGAAGUCGGAAGAUCGACCACUAGUAAGUCUCCUCUCUUUUUCUUUUUAUUAUUUUCGUAUAAAACUAAAAAAAUAAAAAAAAAUCAAAACUUAAAACGAAAAUGGAAGUAAAAUCACCUUUAAUGCUUUUUUGUUUUUGUUUUUAUUUUUAAUGUCUGAUUGUGUGCCUUCGUUUUUAUAGCCGAUUCAUAAACUGUUAGCUUCUAUUUUUUUUGUCUUUUUGCAUGUUGUUUCUUCUGCUUGUCCUCUUUUGCUUGUGUGUUGCAAGUGAUGUCAGAGAAGCGUGGAGGAGCGGUAGCUAGCGUGCGGCUAGCGUGGGAGGAGCGGCGACUAAAGGCAUGUGGCUAGGGUUUUUUGUUUUCUGAACAUGUUAUGGGUUAGUCGGCUAGGGUUAGUUUUUUAGUUUUGGGCUAGUAAUUGGGUUUUAAUUGGGCUAUUGGGUUUUUUUGGCAUGCUAUUUUAUCUUGUAAUUUGGACUUGGACAUUGAACUUAUUAAUAUUUUGGUUUUAUUAUUUGAUUGGGCCCAAGUUAAAAUUGGCCUAUUAUAACAUGAAUAACAAAUACAACUAUAUUGAUAAAUUCAAAAAUUAAAUUAUUAUUGUAUCAAUCGUACAAAAAAUUUAUGUAAGUAUGUAAAAUUAAAUAAUUUUACGUGAGUAUAAAUAAGUCCCUCCCUUAUUUUAGUACUUUUAGUAGCCUACUUUUGCUGUUUAAAUGUUCUGUUUUAAUACUUUUAGUAGCCAUGUGCCACGACGAGCACCCCUCGGCAUCUUGUGAUUUUAAACUUUCUACACUUGGUCUUUUCACCAAGUCUGAGAUUUCCACCUGCAGAUAGC
rnacentral:lncRNA from 1 species